rnacentral:sRNA from 1 species
UUUGUCAUGAGUCAGUAGGGAGUCCAGUGGGCUUUGGCCUGGGGGGCCCAUUUUCAAAUGUCUCCCUCUAUAGAAAGAGUGACCCACAGUUAGUGCCUUGGUGGUUUUUUGGCAAAAUCCCCAGAGCCAAGGCAGAAGAAAUGCUUAGCAAACAGCGGCACGAUGGGGCCUUUCUUAUCCGAGAGAGUGAGAGCGCUCCUGGGGACUUCUCCCUCUCUGUCAAGUUUGGAAACGAUGUGCAGCACUUCAAGGUGCUCCGAGAUGGAGCCGGGAAGUACUUCCUCUGGGUGGUGAAGUUCAAUUCUUUGAAUGAGCUGGUGGAUUAUCACAGAUCUACAUCUGUCUCCAGAAACCAGCAGAUAUUCCUGCGGGACAUAGAACAGGUGCCACAGCAGCCGACAUACGUCCAGGCCCUCUUUGACUUUGAUCCCCAGGAGGAUGGAGAGCUGGGCUUCCGCCGGGGAGAUUUUAUCCAUGUCAUGGAUAACUCAGACCCCAACUGGUGGAAAGGAGCUUGCCACGGGCAGACCGGCAUGUUUCCCCGCAAUUAUGUCACCCCCGUGAACCGGAACGUCUAAGAGUCAAGAAGCAAUUAUUUAAA